AGCGAACGCUGGCGGCAGGCUUAACACAUGCAAGUCGAGCGGGCCCUUCGGGGUCAGCGGCGGACGGGUGAGUAACGCGUGGGAACGUGCCUUCUGGUCUGGAAUAACCCGGGGAAACUAGGGCUAAUACCGGAUACGCCCUUUUGGGGAAAGGUUUACUGCCGGAAGACCGGCCCGCGUCUGGUUGGCUAGUUGGUGGGGUAACGGCCUACCAAGGCGACGAUCAGUAGCUUGUCUGAGAGGAUGAUCAGCCACACUGGGACUGAGACACGGCCCAGACUCCUACGGGAGGCAGCAGUGGGGAAUAUUGGACAAUGGGCGCAAGCCUGAUCCAGCCAUGCCGCGUGAGUGAUGAAGGCCUUAGGGUUGUAAAGCUCUUUUCUCCGGGACGAUAAUGACGGUACCGGAGGAAUAAGCCCCGGCUAACUUCGUGCCAGCCGCCGCAGUAACAC
rnacentral:rRNA from 1 species